GAGUUUGAUCUUGGCUCAGAUUGAACGCUGGCGGCAUGCCUUACACAUGCAAGUCGAGCGGCAGCACGGGAGCUUGCUCCUGGUGGCGAGUGGCGAACGGGUGAGUAAUGCAUCGGAACGUAUCCUGGAGUGGGGGAUAACGUAGCGAAAGUUACGCUAAUACCGCAUAUUCUGUGAGCAGGAAAGCGGGGGACCUUCGGGCCUCGCGCUCUUGGAGCGGCCGAUGUCGGAUUAGCUAGUUGGUGAGGUAAAGGCUCACCAAGGCGACGAUCCGUAGCAGGUCUGAGAGGAUGAUCUGCCACACUGGAACUGAGACACGGUCCAGACUCCUACGGGAGGCAGCAGUGGGGAAUUUUGGACAAUGGGGGCAACCCUGAUCCAGCCAUGCCGCGUGAGUGAAGAAGGCCUCGGUUGUAAG
rnacentral:rRNA from 1 species